rnacentral:rRNA from 1 species
UACGGGGGGGGCAAGCGUUGUUCGGAAUUACUGGGCGUAAAGCGCGUGUAGGCGGGUCCGCAAGUCUGCUGUGAAAGCUCCUGGCUUAACCGGGAGUGGUCGGUGGAAACUGCGAACCUGGAGGACGGUAGAGGUAGGUAGAAUUCCCGGUGUAGUGGUGAAAUGCGUAGAGAUCGGGAGGAAUACCUGUGGCGAAGGCGGCCUACUGGGCCGGACCUGACGCUGAGACGCGAAGGCGUGGGGAGCGAACGGG